CGAUGCAGGGACCGUGGGAGAGCUCCAAUGCAGAGACCACAGGGGAAGCUGCGGCAAGGAGACCAUGGGGGUAGCUCCGACCCAGAGAUCACAUGGACUUCAGGGGGCUAUAAGAAUUGCUUAUGUUUGUGCACAUUUAUCUAAGUCGCCUAUUACAAGAGUAGAGGGGGCGCAAGGAUGGAGUAGACAGGAUAAACAAGAAUGUAAGGUUGAACACAGAUGUAAAGUAUUUGAGUAUAGGAGCAGGGAGGUUCUACUGCAGUUGUACAGGGUCUUGGUGAGACCACACCUGGAGUAUUGCGUACAGUUUUGGUCUCCAAAUCUGAGGAAGGACAUUAUUGCCAUAGAGGGAGUACAGAGACGGUUCACCAGACUGAUUCCUGGGAUGGCAGGACUUUCAUAUGAAGAAAGACUGGAUAGACUCGGCUUGUACUCGCUAGAAUUUAGAAGAUUGAGGGGGGAUCUUAUAGAAACUUACAAAAUUCUUAAGGGCUUGGACAGGCUAGAUGCAGGAAGAUUGUUCCCGAUGUUGGGAAGUCCAGGACAAGGGGUCACAGCUUAAGGAUAAGGGGGAAAUCCUUUAAAACCGAGAUGAGAAGAACUUUUUUCACACAGAGAGUGGUGAAUCUCUGGAACUCUCUGCCACAGAGGGUAGUUCAGGCCAGUUCAUUGGCUAUAUUUAAGAGGGAGUUAGAUGUGGCCCUUGUGGCUAAGGGGAUCAGGGGGUUUGGAGAGAAGGCAGGUACGGAAUACUGAGUUGGAUGAUCAGCCAUGAUCAUAUAUUGAAUGGCGGUGCAGGCUCGAAGGGCCGAAUGGCCUACUCCUGCACCUAAUUUCUAUGUUUCUAUGUUUCUAUGUUUAAACAUAAGAGCAAACAAUUACGAGAUACUGGGGAACUCAGGAGCCGUGCAAGUGCCAAUCCUUAGAGCACAAUGAUUACAGCCUGAAGCAGUGGAAUUACCACUACCAUUACGUAAUAUUUAGUUUCAAAUUCUACUCCACAGAUACAAUUGAAUUGAGAUACAAACUGACAGCAAAAAAAACGUAUUCCUCAAUAUUGAAAAUGAGAACUGCAUUUGUUACAUGAUGGGUUCUUUCCUGGGUCAGGUCCUCUUCACGACAUUCCAGCCAUGGUUAACAUUUGCUGCAAGAAGCCAACUGUCAAAAACACCAAUUACUUCAAGAAUGUUUAAACAAUGUUUCAGGCAUGGAGCCAACUGGCUUAGAAAUGAACUAAAUUAAUAGAAGCCUUAUGUAAAGCCAAAUUUUAUUAACCGUACAUUCUUUCCACACAUUACAUUGUAAAAUCUUAAAAAUAAAUUAGAAUGCAUGCCCCUAUAUCACUGGAAAUGAGUUUCUGACCCAUUAAAUAUUUUGAUUGCAAUUCUGAUAUGGCCUGCAAUUACAAGUAAACUGCACCUAAUUUUAUUUUGUUGGGUACAACUUACCUUUAUCCUGGUGGUUAAAAAGUAAAGAAUCAUACAUAUCCUCAGGAGCAUCAUAAUUGCUAACAUUCUGCAAAUCUUUUCUAAUGUUAAGGAACAGUUUAAAUGAUUUCAAUUCCAUUGCAAUGAUCAGCUUUUAGUUCAACAAAGAAACUGACAAGUUACUAAAGAACUUGCUUGAGGGAGUAAAUUAUUUGUACAUUAAAGCUGAAUUUUGCAGAUCAUUUUCCCAAUGCCAAUUGUAAUGUAAUUUAAUUGAAGGUUGUUCCAGUGCCUAUAGUGUUUGCUGGACCUUCCCAUGGGUGUCCGAAGAAGGGUUUUGGCCCGAAACGUUGCCUAUUCCCUUCGCUCCAUAGAUGCUGCUGCACCCGCUGAGUUUCUCCAGCAUUUUUGUGUACCUUCGAUUUUCCAGCAUCUGCAGUUCCUUCUUAAACACUUUCCAUUUUAAUCCUCUCUAUCCCCAUCUUGUAGUUAGAGUCAAAACUUGACUUUGCCUAUUCAUAGGAACAUAAAAAAAUAGAGCAGAGGCAGCACAACAGGGCUUGUUUGCCAGAUCAAUAAGAUUGUGGCUGGAAUUUUACUUCAGUGCCCGUUUCCUGAGUACAUUGGUCCCUGUUUCUAGACAGCUCCGCCAUGGAAAACAUCACGUCUGCAAAGUAUAUGUUUCAAUUAGAGCACAUGUCAUUCUCCCAAACUUUAGCGAGCAGGGGGCUAGUCUGAAUAACCUUUCAUCAUACCACGGUUACGCCAACUGUAUUGGCCUUUUUUAUGAGAAGAUUUGAAUACAGUAGGAAGAAAGUCCAUUUGCAGUUAAUUAGGGCCUGGUUGAGGAUUAUCCUGGAGUAUGGCUAUCAGUUUUUGUCUCAACAUAGAGGAGUACAGCGGCGAUUCACUACACUGACUCCAGGAUCACUGUAUGUAAUGGGACUGACCAGAAUGAAACUGCACAUUAGAAGAAUGAGAUCUUAUCAAAACACACAAGACAUUUAAUGAACUUGAAGAGCUAGAUGAAAAGGAAGUUAUUUAUGUUGUCUAAAGAAUUUAAUUGGUUCGUGGGGUGGAGGGGGAAGAGCUUCAGAAUAAGAAGUUGGUGAUUAGGGUCUGAAUUAAUUUUUUUCACAGAGGCUGAUGAGCUUUUGGAAUAUUUUAAACCCAGAAGACCGUGGAGGUUCAGUCAUUGUGUUCAUUGAAAAUGGGAAUUAGUAGACUAAUGGACAUUAAAACAAUGAACAAACAUGGGAUGAUCGUGGAAAAUCAUGCUAGGAUUGAAGACUGCUCAUGAUCUUAACAAAUGGUUGAGCACUGUCCGAGAGUUGAUGUCCACUCCUGCUCCUAUUUCUUAUGUUCAUAAGACAAGCCCAUCGUCCCAGGAAUUAUCCCGGUGAAUUGUUUCUGCAUUUCCUCUGUUGCAUGCAUAUACAGUGGCUUGCGAAAGUUUUCAUACCCAUUGAACUUUUCCACAUUUUGUCACGUUACAACCACAAACGUAAAUGUAAUUUAUUGGGAUUUUAUGUGAUAGACCAACACAAAGUGGCGCAUAAUUGUGAAGUGGAAGGAAAAUGAUACAUGGUUUUCAAAUUUUUUUACAAAUAAAAAACUGAAAAGUGUGGUGUGCAAAAGUAUUCAGCCCCCUUUACUCUGAUACCCCUAAAUAAAAUCCAGUGCAACCAAUUGCCUUCAGAAGUCACCUAAUUAGUAAAUAGAGUCCACUUAUGUGUAAUCUAAUCUCAGUAUAAAUACAGCUGUUCUGUGAAGGCCUCAGAGGUUUGUUAGAGAACAUUAGUGAACAAACAGCAUCAUGAAGCCCAAGGAACAUACCAGACAGGUCAGGGAUAAAGUUGUGGAGAAGUUUAAAGCAGGCUUAGGUUAUAAAAAAAUAUCCCAAGCUUUGAACAUCUCACGGAGCACUGUUCAAUCCAUCAUCCGAAAAUGGAAAGAGUAUGGCACAACUGCAAACCUACCAAGACAUGGCCGUCCACCUAAACUGACAGGGCCGGGCAAGGAGAGCAUUGAUCAGAGAAGCAGCCAAGAGGCCCAUGGUAACUCUGGAGGAGCUGCAGAGAUCCACAGCUCAGGUGGGAGAAUCUGUCCCCAGGACAACUAUUAGUCGUGCACUCUGCAAAUCGGGCCUUUAUGGAAGAGGGCAAGAAGAAAGCCAUUGUUGAAAAAAAGCCAUAAGAAGUCCCGUUUGCAGUUUGCCACAAGCCAUGUGGGGGACACAGCAAACAUGUGGAGGAAGGUGCUCUGGUCAGAUGAGACCAAAAUUGAAGUUUUUGGCCUAAAUGCAAAACGCUAUGUGUGGUGGAAAACUAACACUGCACAUCACCCUGAACACACCAUCCCCACUGUGAAACAUGGUGGUGGCAGCAUCAUGCUGUGGGGAUGUUUUCUUCAGCAGGGACAGGGAAGCUGGUCAGAGUUGAUGGGAAGAUGGAUGGAGCCAAAUACAGGGCAAUUUUGGAAGAAAACCUGUUAGAGUCUGCAAAAGACUUGAGACUGGGGCGGAGGUUCACCUUCCAGCAGGACAACGACCCUAAACAUACAGCCAGAGCUACAAUGGAAUGGUUGAGAUCAAAGCAUAUCCAUGUGUUAGAAUGGCCCAGUCAAAGUCCAGACCUAAAUCCAAUUGAGAAUCUCUGGCAAGACUUGAAAAUUGCUGUUCACAGACGCUCUCCAUCCAAUCUGACUGAGCUUGAGCUAUUUCGCAAAGAAGAUUGGGCAAAAAUUUCAGUCUCUAGAUGUGCAAAGCUGGUAGAGAGAUACCCCAAAAGACUUGCAGCUGUAAUUGCAGUGAAAAGUGGUUCUACAAAGUAUUGACUCAGGGGGGCUGAAUACUUUUGCACGCCACACUUUUCAGUUAUUUAUUUGUAAAAAAAUUUGAAAACCAUGUAUCAUUUUCCUUCCACUUCACAAUUAUGCGCCACUUUGUGUUGGUCUAUCACAUAAAAUCCCAAUAAAGUACAUUUACGUUUGUGGUUGUAACGUGACAAAAUGUGGAAAAGUUCAAGGGGUAUGAAAACUUUUGCAAGCCACUGGAUCUAUCCUUGGGGAGAGAUCUGCACCGUUUUCUGGAUAUGGCCUCACCAGAGGCUAUGCAAGUACUGUCAGCCAUCUGUCAGCCAUCUUCACUAAAUCACCUUACACUGAGCCCCACAUAUCUUCUUUCCUAAUUGCUUGCCGUACCUGCAUGUUAACUUUCAGUCACUUGUGUAAAACGGUAACUGAGUUAUUCUGAAUACCAACACCUUUUGCUUUCACACAAUUUAACAGAUAGUUUACCUGGCUACUUUUCUUCCAAAGAUCACAACCGUACCAUUUUCUACAUUAUAUUCUAUCUGGUAUGUUCUCAUCCAUUCACUUAGCCUGUCUUUAUUCCCCCUGAACCCUACCUAAAACCAGCACAAUCACACAACCACACAAGUUUGAAUCAUCCAUCAACUUGGAUCACACUUAGUCUCAUCAUUCAAGUCAUUGAUAUGGCUUGUACGCAGCUGGGAUCCCAGCAACAAUUCCUGUAUUAUUCCACGAGUCACAACCUCCCAGACCAAAAUGGAUCAAUUUGUCAAAAAUGAUUUAUUUUUCAUGAUUUAGCCUAAUCCCCACACCUCAUUCCUCAGAUACAUAGAAAAUAGGUGCAGGAGUAGGCCAUUCGGCCCUUCGAGCCUGCACCGCCAUUCAAUGUGAUCAUGGCUGAUCAUCCAACUCAGUAUCCUGUACCUGCCUUCUCUCCAUACCACCUGAUCCCUUUAGCCACAAGGGCCACAUCUAACUCCCUCUUAAAUAUAGCCAAUGAACUGGCCUCAACUACCCUCUGUGGCAGAGAGUUCCAGAGAUUCACUACUCUCUGUGUGAAAAAUGUUUUUCUCAUCUCGGUCUUAAAGGAUUUCCCCCUUAUCCUUAAGCUGUGACCCCUUGUCCUGGACUUCCCCAACAUCGGGAACAAUCUUCCUGCAUCUAGCCUGUCCAACCCCUUAAGAAUUUUGUAAGUUUCUAUAAGAUCCCCCCUCAAUCCCCUAAAUUCUAGCGAGUAUAAGCCAAGUCUAUUCUGUCUUUCUUCAUAUGAAAGUCCUGACAUCCCAGGAAUCAGUCUGGUGAACCAUCUCUGCACUCCCUCUAUGGCAAGAAUGUCUUUCCUUAGAUUAGGAGACCAAAACUGUACGCAAUACUCCAGGUGUGGUCUCACCAAAGCCCUGUACAACUGCAGUAGAACCUCCCUGCUCCUAUACUCAACCUUCUUAGAACUAUCUUUCUUAGUCUGCCUCACUUACGACCUUGUUUUAAGAUUGAACUGCGUAAUCUUACUUUUAUUUUUCUUUCAUAUUAAGGUAACUCUUCUCGAAAGGUCCUUAACCACCAGUUAUUAAUUAAUCCUCUGCUUCACCAUGGGUUAAUAUGGUAAUUCUAAUGCACAGGAAUGCAAGAGGCUUCAGAAAGUGGUGGGCUCCGCUCCGUCAAUCACAGGCAUGGCCGUUCUCACCGAAAGCAUCAACAUGAGACGCCGCCUCAAGAAGGUGGCAUCCAAAGAUCCUAUAGCGGAGCAAGAUAGACCACUCCUGCUAAAUGCAAUGAGCUGACGUGUAGUACGCAACUGAACGCAACGUAUGCCUUUUUUUCAUCCAUUUCCAUGACCGGACCGGACCCGACUCGACUCGCAGUGUAAUCAACGUUGCGAGGGAACAGUUUGUGUUAAUAAAUUAAAAUUCUGAAAAUGAGGAGAAGAUUUUUCCCAAAUAACUUUUAUUUUUACGAGGAUGUUUCCGUAACCGGCUUCCGUCUCCGCACUAGUAUCCUAUGGGAUCUUUGGUGCGGAGAUGGAAGCCGGUUACGGAAAUGGGGCCUUAAAUUACCCAUGAAUCUGCCCGUGAUCGUACUACGUCUUUUUCGUGGAGUGGACUAUCUUGCUCGCUGUAGGAUCUAUGGACACCCUCUCUGCCACGUGGAGUCUCUUUCAUUGCGUUUUGCACUCAUGUUAUUUUUUGCAUAACCAUUUUUUCUUUUCACUGUCCUAUGGGAUUUUCUGUAAUUCAUGUAUAAUUUAUGUUAUUGUAUGUUUGUCUGAGUCUACAUAGAGCAAGAACAAUUUUCAUUGUAUCUGUAUCUCUUGUGCAUAUGACAAUAAACUCAAUUUGACCUGACUCUUUCUCAAUGUUCUUCAAUACAAGAAAGCUUAUUCCUUUUUGUUCUUCAAUAAUUGGCCAAAUUAAAACAUCUUACACAUACCAUUAGACACAUCAUACUUGGUACAUACUAUUACAGCUAAAAAUCUGCCAGUCCAGUACUAUCAAAUUGUCCGUGUGCCAGAUUAUCGACGUUUUGCUUGGCAUUUUUGGUUCUGUAGAAUCACAUUUAAUUUAAACCAAAAGAAAAUUGCAGCGUUGAAGAAAAUGGAGGAAACAAGAGGAUGCGAGUCACUUUUGAAAAGUGGCUGAAGAAAAUAUCGUGAUAAUUUGAGAGGAAUGAGGCACAAUUCAGGUUUUGAAUGGCAUCUACAAAACAAAGCAGGGGACAUUGCAUAAGGGAUGGGAACCAUGUUGUGUGGGUGGUACCUUGCAGGGAAUGGGCCUACAGCUGAUUAGAUAAAUUCAAACAUAAAAUUGUAUUGUAUUGUAUUCAAAUUUAUUGUCAUUGUCUCAAUUAGAGACAACGAAAUGAAUUUCCCUUUACAGUCAGUAUCAUAAAAAUAAAUAAGUAAUAAAUAUUAAAACAUAUUAAAAAAAUAAAAUAGAAUUUAAAAAAAAAAGGAUUCUUCUUCCCAUUUUAAGCACAUUUACCAAUCUUGGUUUUGUUUAUUGUCGCGUGUACUGAGGUAGAAUGGAAAUCUUUCGUUGUGUGCUAACCAGUCAGCGGAAAAGACCAUACGUGAUUGCAAUCAAGCCAUCCACAGUGCACAGAUAGAUGAUAAAGUGAAUCACGUUUAGUGCCUCCAACCAUCUUCCUGUUGCAAUGCUGAAAUUGAGCUCAGUGUGCUCAGCAAACACAAGAAUCUCAAAAAUGGACACCAGGGAAAGGUUUAGCGUAAAAUACAUCAUUCAUGAUUACAAAAUGGGACAUCUUAAAAAUAUUCGACAAGGACGAUAUCGACAAGAGAUAUCAGAGGUGUAUGACCAGCUUGUAAUGUUUCUUGGAGAAUGGAGGAUUGAGUAUGCUGCAGAAUGCAUGAAGCAAUGCACACUGAAUGUCAGCUUGCAAGGAGGCAGCAGUGUAUCCCGGGUUAUCAUGCAGAGUGCUUCUGCAACAUAACAACAAUAAAUCGAGCGAUAGCAAAGUCUAGAAGGAAGAAAGUUUAAGACGCUGAAAAGCCUGAAGCAGGUGAAUCACCUUAAGAGGCAGUU